rnacentral:rRNA from 1 species
UACGGAGGGGGCUAGCGUUGUUCGGAAUUACUGGGCGUAAAGCGCGCGUAGGCGGCUUUGUAAGUUAGAGGUGAAAGCCCGGAGCUCAACUCCGGAAUUGCCUUUAAGACUGCAUCGCUAGAAUCAUGGAGAGGUUAGUGGAAUUCCGAGUGUAGAGGUGAAAUUCGUAGAUAUUCGGAAGAGCACCAGUGGCGAAGGCGACUAACUGGACAUGUAUUGACGCUGAGGUGCGAAAGCGUGGGGAGCAAACAGG